GAUGAAGAACGUAGCGAAAUGCGAUAAGUAAUGUGAAUUGCAGAAUUCAGUGAAUCAUCGAAUCUUUGAACGCACAUUGCGCCCCUUGGUAUUCCGAGGGGCAUGCCUGUUCGAGCGUCAUUAUAACCCCUCAAGCUCAGCUUGGUGUUGGGGCCUGCUGCACUGGCAGCCCUUAAAAUCAGUGGCGGCGCCAUCUGGCUCUAAGCGUAGUAAUUCUUCUCGCUAUGGAGUCCUGGUGGAUGCUUGCCAUCAACCCCCAAUUUUUCUAUGGUUGACCUCGGAUCAGGUAGGGAUACCCGCUGAACUUAAGCUUAUCAAUAAGCGGAGGA
rnacentral:misc_RNA from 1 species